UACGGAGGGGGCUAGCGUUGCUCGGAAUCACUGGGCGUAAAGCGCACGUAGGCGGAUCGUUAAGUCGGAGGUGAAAUCCUGGAGCUCAACUCCAGAACUGCCCUCGAUACUGGCGAUCUUGGAGUCCGGGAGAGGUGAGUGGAACUCCGAGUGUAGAGGUGAAAUUCGUAGAUAUUCGGAAGAACACCAGUGGCGAAGGCGGCUCACUGGCCCGGUACUGACGCUGAGGUG
rnacentral:rRNA from 1 species